rnacentral:rRNA from 1 species
GACGAACGCUGGCGGCGUGUUUAACACAUGCAAGUCGAACGGGAUUUAGUAAACAGAAGCCUCGGUGGAAGAUUACUAAUGAGAGUGGCGAACGGGUGAGUAACGCGUGAGCAACCUGCCUAUGACAGUGGGAUAGCCUCGGGAAACCGGGAUUAAUACCGCAUAAAAUCGUAGAAACACAUGUUUUAACGGUCAAAGAUUUAUCGGUCAUAGAUGGGCUCGCGUCUGAUUAGCUAGUUGGUGAGAUAACAGCCCACCAAGGCGACGAUCAGUAGCCGGUCUGAGAGGAUGAACGGCCACAUUGGAACUGAGACACGGUCCAAACUCCUACGGGAGGCAGCAGUGGGGAAUAUUGCACAAUGGGGGAAACCCUGAUGCAGCGACGCCGCGUGAACGAAGAAGGUAUUCGUAUCGUAAAGUUCUGUCCUAUGGGAAGAUAAUGACAGUACCAUAGAAGAAAGCUCCGGCUAAAUACGUG